AACGAACGCUGGCGGCAGGCUUAACACAUGCAAGUCGAGCGCCCCGCAAGGGGAGCGGCAGACGGGUGAGUAACGCGUGGGAAUCUACCCAUCACUACGGAACAAAUCCGGGAAACUGGAGCUAAUACCGUAUACGUCCUUCGGGAGAAAGAUUUAUCGGUUGUGGAUGAGCCCGCGGAGGAUUAGCUAGUUGGUGGGGUAAGGGCCUACCAAGGAGACGAUCCAUAGCUGGUCGGAGGGGAUGAUCAGCCCAACUGGGACGAGGACACGGCCCGAACUCCUACGGAAGGAAGAAGUGGGCAACAUGGGACAAUGGGGGAAAGCCUGAUCAAGCCAUGCCGCGUGAGUAUUGAGGCCCCUAGGGUUGUAAACAGGGGUCAACGGUGAAGAUAUGACGGUAACCGUAGAAGAAGCCCCGGCUAACUUCGUGCCAGCAGCCGCCGUAAAAC
rnacentral:rRNA from 1 species